UAACGCGUAGGCAACCUACCCUUUAGACGGGGACAACAUUCCGAAAGGAGUGCUAAUACCGGAUGUGAUCAUCGUGCCGCAUGGCAGGAUGAAGAAAGAUGGCCUCUACAAGUAAGCUAUCGCUAAAGGAUGGGCCUGCGUCUGAUUAGCUAGUUGGUAGUGUAACGGACUACCAAGGCGAUGAUCAGUAGCCGGUCUGAGAGGAUGAACGGCCACAUUGGGACUGAGACACGGCCCAAACUCCUACGGGAGGCAGCAGUGGGGAAUCUUCCGCAAUGGACGAAAGUCUGACGGAGCAACGCCGCGUGAGUGAUGAAGGAUUUCGGUCUGUAAAGCUCUGUUGUUUAUGACGAACGUGCAGUGUGUGAACAAUGCAUUGCAAUGACGGUAGUAAACGAGGAAGCCACGGCUAACUACGUGCCAGCAGCCGCGGUAAUACGUAGGUGGCGAGCGUUGUCCGGAAUUAUUGGGCGUAAAGAGCAUGUAGGCGGCUUAAUAAGUCGAGCGUGAAAAUGCGGGGCUCAACCCCGUAUGGCGCUGGAAACUGUUAGGCUUGAGUGCAGGAGAGGAAAGGGGAAUUCCCAGUGUAGCGGUGAAAUGCGUAGAUAUUGGGAGGAACACCAGUGGCGAAGGCGCCUUUCUGGACUGUGUCUGACGCUGAGAUGCGAAAGCCAGGGUAGCGAACGGG
rnacentral:rRNA from 1 species